rnacentral:rRNA from 1 species
CCUACGGGAGGCAGCAGUGGGGAAUUUUGGACAAUGGGCGAAAGCCUGAUCCAGCAAUGCCGCGUGAGUGAAGAAGGCCUUCGGGUUGUAAAGCUCUUUUGUCAGGGAAGAAACGGUGGGAGCUAAUAUCUCUUGCUAAUGACGGUACCUGAAGAAUAAGCACCGGCUAACUACGUGCCAGCAGCCGCGGUAAUACGUAGGGUGCAAGCGUUAAUCGUAAUUACUGGGCGUAAAGCGUGCGCAGGCGGUUUUGUAAGUCUGAUGUGAAAUCCCCGGGCUCAACCUGGGAAUUGCAUUGGAGACUGCAAGGCUAGAAUCUGGCAGAGGGGGGUAGAAUUCCACGUGUAGCAGUGAAAUGCGUAGAUAUGUGGAGGAACACCGAUGGCGAAGGCAGCCCCCUGGGUCAAGAUUGACGCUCAUGCACGAAAGCGUGGGGAGCAAACAGGAUUAGAUACCCUGGUAGUCCACGCCCUAAACGAUGUCUACUAGUUGUCGGGUCUUAAUUGACUUGGUAACGCAGCUAACGCGUGAAGUAGACCGCCUGGGGGAGGUACGGUCGCGAGAAGUUAAACGUAACUAAUAGAAGUUAGUACGGACGUGAGACGUUAGCCGACGGACGACGACGAGGGAGGAGGG